GUCUUCUGGUGACAUCCUAUAAAAUGGAACAAUACAGAAAGAUUAGCAUGGCCUGUCCACAAGGAUGACAAACACGAAUCUUCAAGCCUUCAUUCAUUUGU